rnacentral:rRNA from 1 species
CCUACGGGUGGCUGCAGUCGAGAAUCAUUCACAAUGGGGGAAACCCUGAUGGUGCGACGCCGCGUGGGGGAAUGAAGGUCUUCAGAUUGUAAACCCCUGUCAUGUGGGAGCAAAUUAAAAAGAUAGUACCACAAGAGGAAGAGACGGCUAACUCUGUGCCAGCAGCCGCGGUAAUACAGAGGUCCCAAGCGUUGUUCGGAAUCACUGGGCGUAAGGCGUGCGUAGGCUGUUUCGUAAGUCGUGUGUGAAAGGCGCGGGCUCAACCCGCGGACGGCACAUGAUACUGCGAGACUAGAGUAAUGGAGGGGGAACCGGAAUUCUCGGUGUAGCAGUGAAAUGCGUAGAUAUCGAGAGGAACACUCGUGGCGAAGGCGGGUUCCUGGACAUUAACUGACGCUGAGGCACGAAGGCCAGGGGAGCGAAAGGGAUUAGAUACCCGGGUAGUC